GACGAACGCUGGCGGCGUGCUUAACACAUGCAAGUCGAACGGAAAGGCCCUGCUUUUGUGGGGUGCUCGAGUGGCGAACGGGUGAGUAACACGUGAGUAACCUGCCCUUGACUUUGGGAUAACUUCAGGAAACUGGGGCUAAUACCGGAUAGGAUCUCCUGCUGCAUGGUGGGGGUUGGAAAGUUUCGGCGGUUGGGGAUGGACUCGCGGCUUCUCAGCUUCUUGGUGGGGUAGUGGCUUACCAAGGCUUUGACGGGUAGCCGGCCUGAGAGGGUGAACGGCCACAUUGGGACUGAGAUACGGCCCAGACUCCUACGGGAGGCAGCAGUGGGGAAUAUUGCACAAUGGGCGGAAGCCUGAUGCAGCAACGCCGCGUGCGGGAUGACGGCCUUCGGGUUGUAAACCGCUUUCGCCUGUGACGAAGCGUGAGUGACGGUAAUGGGUAAAGAAGCACCGGCUAACUACGUG
rnacentral:rRNA from 1 species